rnacentral:tRNA from 1 species
GGUGGCUCAGUGGCAGAGCGCUUGCCUUGCAUGCAUGAGGACCUGGGUUCGAUUCCUCAGCACCA